CUCCAAAGCUACGGAGUAAGGACGAUUCCCAUCUCUGCCAUUUGGAGGCACAAAAAGAGCUCCAAGGAAACAUGGGCCUGAUGGUCUCAUGUGCCAUGGAGUCAUACA
rnacentral:snoRNA from 1 species